rnacentral:miRNA from 1 species
UUGGUCAAAAAGUUUGUUCGGGUUUUUCCAUAAAAUGUUAUGGAAAAACCUGAACGAAAAUUUUGGCUAA